GAUGAACGCUGGCGGCGUGCUUAACACAUGCAAGUCGAACGGAAAGGCUCCUGCUUGCAGGGGUACUCGAGUGGCGAACGGGUGAGUAACACGUGGGUGAUCUGCCCUGCACUUCGGGAUAAGCCUGGGAAACUGGGUCUAAUACCGGAUAGGACCACAUUUUGGAUGGUAUGGUGGAAAGUUUUUCGGUGUGGGAUGAGCUCGCGGCCUAUCAGCUUGUUGGUGGGGUAAUGGCCUACCAAGGCGUCGACGGGUAGCCGGCCUGAGAGGGUGUACGGCCACAUUGGGACUGAGAUACGGCCCAGACUCCUACGGGAGGCAGCAGUGGGGAAUAUUGCACAAUGGGCGCAAGCCUGAUGCAGCGACGCCGCGUGGGGGAUGACGGCCUUCGGGUUGUAAACUCCUUUCGCUAGGGACGAAGCGCAAGUGACGGUACCUGGAGAAGAAGCACCGGCUAACUACGUG
rnacentral:rRNA from 1 species